UUCACCUAUAAUUUUGAAAAUAAAGGCCGCAAAAUAUUUUUUCUGCAUGCCAUUUUAGAGUUUAUUUAAAGCUAUUAAAAGUCACACAAUAUAAAGGGUGUCCAGCGGGAAUUUUUCAACUUUAAAUCAACGUUACUCAUUUGUAAGCGGGGUUAGGGCCGCGGAGGGGGUGGCGUUAGAAGCGACGUUUCUGCGGAUUUGUCAGUCGCCAUGAGUCAUUGGUCGGGCGCG
rnacentral:misc_RNA from 1 species